GAUGAAGAACGCAGCGAAAUGCGAUAAGUAAUGUGAAUUGCAGAAUUCAGUGAAUCAUCGAAUCUUUGAACGCACAUUGCGCCACCUGGUAUUCCGGGGGGCAUGCCUGUUCGAGCGUCAUUUCACCACUCAAGCCUCGCUUGGUAUUGGGCAACGCGGUCCGCCGCGUGCCUCAAAUCGUCCGGCUGGGUCUUCUGUCCCCUAAGCGUUGUGGAAACUAUUCGCUAAAGGGUGUUCGGGAGGCUACGCCGUAAAACAACCCCAUUUCUAAGGUUGACCUCGGAUCAGGUAGGGAUACCCGCUGAACUUAAGCAUAUCAAUAAGCGGAGGA
rnacentral:misc_RNA from 1 species